rnacentral:rRNA from 1 species
AUUGAACGCUGGCGGCAUGCCUAACACAUGCAAGUCGAACGGUAGCAGGAGCUAGCUUGCUAGCUUGCUGACGAGUGGCGGACGGGUGAGUAAUGCGUAGGAAUCUGCCCUUAAGUGGGG